rnacentral:rRNA from 1 species
CCCUUAGAUGUUCUGGGCCGCACACACGCUACACUGAAGGAGGCAGCGUGUACUCCUGGAUCGAAAGAUUUGGGUAACCCGCGAAUCUCCUUCGUGCUAGGGAUUGAGGUUUGCAAUUAUCCUUCAUGAACGAGGAAUUCCCAGUAAGUGCAAGUCAUAAGCUUGCGCUGACUACGUCCCUGCCCUUUGUACACACCGCCCGUCGCUACUACCGAUUGAAUGAUUUAGUGAGGACUUCGGACUGGGACCGAUGCGGCUUUCGGGCUGCGUCGGUAUUCUGGAAAGAUGUCCAAACUGUAUCAUUUAGAGGAAGUAAAAGUCGUAACA